UACGUAGGGGGCAAGCGUUAUCCGGAUUUACUGGGUGUAAAGGGAGCGUAGACGGCGAAGAAAGUCUGAAGUGAAAGCCCGCGGCUUAACCGCGGAACUGCUUUGGAAACUUUUUUGCUGGAGUACCGGAGAGGUAAGCGGAAUUCCUAGUGUAGCGGUGAAAUGCGUAGAUAUUAGGAGGAACACCAGUGGCGAAGGCGGCUUACUGGACGGUAACUGACGUUGAGGCUCGAAAGCGUGGGGAGCAA
rnacentral:rRNA from 1 species